CCUACGGUGAGCUGCAGUAGGGAAUAUUGCUCAAUGGGGGAAACCCUGAAGCAGCAACGCCGCGUGGAGGAUGAAGGUUUUAGGAUUGUAACCUCCUUUUGUGAGAGAAGAUAAUGACGGUCUCUCACGAAUAAUCACCGGCUAACUCAGUGCCAGCAGCCGCGGUAAUACGGAGGGUGCAAGCGUUACUCGGAAUCACUGGGCGUAAAGAGUGCGCAGGCGGGGUUGUAAGUCAGAUGUGAAAUCCUAUAGUGUAACUACAAAACUGCAUUUGAAACUAUGAGUCUAGAGUGUGGGAGAGGUAGGUGGAAUGCUUGGUGUAGGGGUAAAAUCCGGAGAUAUCAAGAGGAAUACUCAUUGCGAAGGCGACCUACUGGAACAUUACUGACGCUCAUGCACGAAAGCGUGGGGAGCAAACAGGAUUAGAUACCCGGGUAGUC
rnacentral:rRNA from 1 species